UACGUAGGGGGCAAGCGUUGUCCGGAUUUAUUGGGCGUAAAGAGCGUGUAGGCGGCCGUACAGGUCAGCUGUGAAAACUCGAGGCUCAACCUCGAGACGUCGGUUGAAACCGUACGGCUAGAGUCCGGAAGAGGAGAGUGGAAUUCCCGGUGUAGCGGUGAAAUGCGCAGAUAUCGGGAAGAACACCCGUGGCGAAGGCGGCUCUCUGGGACGGUACUGACGCUGAGACGCGAAAGCCAGGGGAGCAAACGGG
rnacentral:rRNA from 1 species